AUUGAACGCUGGCGGCAUGCUUUACACAUGCAAGUCGAACGGCAGCGCGGGCUUCGGCCUGGCGGCGAGUGGCGAACGGGUGAGUAAUGCAUCGGAACGUGCCCAGUAGUGGGGGAUAGCCCGGCGAAAGCCGGAUUAAUACCGCAUACGACCUGAGGGUGAAAGCGGGGGACCGAAAGGCCUCGCGCUAUUGGAGCGGCCGAUGUCGGAUUAGCUAGUUGGUGGGGUAAAGGCUUACCAAGGCGACGAUCCGUAGCUGGUCUGAGAGGACGACCAGCCAAAGUGGGACUGGGACACGGCCCAGACCCCUACGGGAGGCAGCAGUGGGGAAUUUUGGAAAAGGGGGGCAACCCUGACCCAGCCAUGCCGGGGGGGGGAAGAAGGCCUUGGGGUUGUAAACCGCUUUUGUUGGGGAAGAAAUCCUCUGGGCUAAACCCCCGGGGGGAUGACGGUACCGGAAGAAUAAGCACCGGCUAACUACGU
rnacentral:rRNA from 1 species